rnacentral:rRNA from 1 species
AUUGAACGCUGGCGGCAUGCCUUACACAUGCAAGUCGAACGGCAGCACGGACUUCGGUCUGGUGGCGAGUGGCGAACGGGUGAGUAAUGUAUCGGAACGUACCUUUCAGUGGGGGAUAACGUAGCGAAAGUUACGCUAAUACCGCAUAUUCUGUGAGCAGGAAAGCAGGGGAUCGAAAGACCUUGCGCUGAUUGAGUGGCCGAUAUCAGAUUAGCUAGUUGGUGGGGUAAAGGCCUACCAAGGCGACGAUCUGUAGCGGGUCUGAGAGGAUGAUCCGCCACACUGGAACUGAGACACGGUCCAGACUCCUACGGGAGGCAGCAGUGGGGAAUUUUGGACAAUGGGGGCAACCCUGAUCCAGCCAUGCCGCGUGAGUGAAGAAGGCCUUCGGGUUGUAAAGCUCUUUCGGCCGGGAAGAAAUCGCAUAGGCUAAUACCCUGUGUGGAUGACGGUACCGGAAGAAGAAGCACCGGCUAACUACGUG